rnacentral:rRNA from 1 species
AUUGCCUUAGUAACGGCGAGUGAAGCGGCAAAAGCUCAGAUUUGAAAUCUGGCGUCAUUCUGGCGUCCGAGUUGUAAUCUGUAGAGGAGUAUUCGAGUGUAGCUUUGGCUUAAGUUCCUUGGAACAGGGCGUCAUAGAGGGUGAGAACCCCGUUAACGGCCUUAGUCUUAUGCUCAUGUGAAUCUCCUUCAACGAGUCGAGUUGUUUGGGAAUGCAGCUCUAAAUGGGUGGUAAAUUCCAUCUAAAGCUAAAUACUGGCAAGAGACCGAUAGCGCACAAGUAGAGUGAUCGAAAGAUGAAAAGAACUCUGAACAGAGAGUUAAAUAGUACGUGAAAUUGUUGAAAGGGAAGCACUUGCGACCAGACACACCUGCAACUGAUCAACCUCCAUUUUUGGUGGUGCACUCGGUUGUAGGUGGGUCAGCAUCAGUUACGGCGGUGGGAAAAAGACCAAGGGAAUGUGGCUCUCUUCGGGGAGUGUUAUACCCCUUGGUGUAAUCCCGCCAGCUGUGACUGAGAACCGCGCUU